rnacentral:rRNA from 1 species
GCGUAACGAUCUGGGCGCUGUCUCAACAAGAGACUCGGUGAAAUUGUAGUAGCAGUGUAGAUGCUGUUUACCCGCAAUCAGACGGAAAGACCCCGUGAACCUUUACUGUACUCUGAUAUGGGCUCUUGAUUUGUCAUGUGUAGGAUAACCGGGAGGCAUUGAUCCUGACGCGCUAGCGUUAGUGAAGUCAACCUUGAAAUACCGGUCUUGGCAAAUUGAGAAUCUAACGAAGCUCCGUGAAUCCGGAGUUCGGACAGUGUCAGACGGGCAGUUUUACUGGGGCGGUAUCCUCCUAAAGAGUAACGGAGGAGUCCAAAGCUUACCUCAUCGUGGUUGGCAAUCACGAGUAGAGCGCAAAAGUAUAAGGUAAGUUGACUGCGAGACGUACAUGUCAAGCAGGUACGAAAGUAGGGUUUAGUGAUCCGGCGGUGGAAAGUGGAAUCGCCGUCGCUCAACGGAUAAAAGGUACUCCGGGGAUAACAGGCUUAUCGCCACCAAGAGUUCAUAUCGACGUGGCGGUUUGGCACCUCGAUGUCGACUCAUCGCAUCCUGGGGCUGUAGAAGGUCCCAAGGGUUUGGCUGUUCGCCAAUUAAAGCGGUACGCGAGUUGGGUUCAAAACGUCGUGAGACAGUUUGGUCCCUAUCUGUUGUGGGCGUAGGAUACUUGAGAAGAGCUGCUUCUAGUACGAGAGGACCGAAGUGGACGAACCUAUGGUGUUCCGGUUGUACUGCCAAGUGCAUUGCCGGGUAGCUACGUUCGGAAAGGAUAAGCGUUGAAAGCAUCUAAACGCCAAGCCUCCUUCAAGAUUAGGUAUCCCAAUGAGACUCCCUGAAGAUCACAGGGUUGAUAGGCUGGGUGUGUAAGCACAGUAAUGUGUUCAGCUAACCAGUACUAAUAGGUCCAACGGCUUGAUC